CCUACGGGAGGCUGCAGUGAGGAAUAUUGGUCAAUGGGCGGAAGCCUGAACCAGCCAAGUCGCGUGAGGGAAUAAGGCCCUACGGGUCGUAAACCUCUUUUGCCGGGGAGCAAGGGCGGGGACGUGUCCCGGCCCGGAGAGUACCCGGAGAAAAAGCAUCGGCUAACUCCGUGCCAGCAGCCGCGGUCAUACGUAGGAUCCGAGCAUUAUCCGGAGUGACUGGGUGUAAAGAGUUGCGUAGGUGGCAUAAUAAGUAGCUAGUGAAAUCUGGUGGCUCAACCAUUCAGACUAUUAGCUAAACUGUUAAGCUCGAGACCGUUAGGGGUAACUGGAAUUUCUAGUGUAGGAGUGAAAUCCGUAGAUAUUAGAAGGAACACCAAUAGCGUAGGCAGGUUGCUGGGACGGUUCUGACACUAAGGCACGAAAGCGUAGGGAGCAAACGGGAUUAGAUACCCCAGUAGUC
rnacentral:rRNA from 1 species